GGAGGAUCCGAGCGUUAUCCGGAUUUACUGGGUUUAAAGGGUGCGUAGGCGGCCCUGCAAGUCAGCGGUGAAAUGUGGCGGCUCAACCGUUUCGCUGCCGCUGAUACUGUAGGGCUUGGAUGCGGUCGAGGCGGGUGGAAUUCGUGGUGUAGCGGUGAAAUGCAUAGAUAUCACGAGGAACGCCGAUAGCGAAGGCAGCUCGCCGGGCCGCGAUCGACGCUGAGGCACGAAAGCGUGGGGAUCAAACAGGAUUAGAUACCCUGGUAGUCCACGCCGUAAACGAUGAUGGCUGGGUGUGCGCCCGCGAGGGCGCGUGCCUGAGGGAAACCAUUAAGCCAUCCACCUGGGGAGUACGGCCGCAAGGCUG
rnacentral:rRNA from 1 species